AGUAGUUUAUGAUGAACAAUUCUUACCUACAUUGUUUGAUUUUGUCAUUUGAUAAUAGAUGUUUUUACUGAACUCUG
rnacentral:snoRNA from 1 species